rfam:Capsicum annuum cultivar Zunla-1 chromosome 2, whole genome shotgun sequence
GUCCCUUCAUGGACAUUCGAUAAAAUUAGAACGAUACAGAGAAGAUUAACAUGGCUCCGGCACAAGGAUGAGACACACAAAUCAAGAAAUAGUCUAGUCUCAA